rnacentral:rRNA from 1 species
CUUUGAGUGAGCUGAUACCGCUCGCCGCAGCCGAACGACCGAGCGCAGCGAGUCAGUGAGCGAGGAAGCGGAAGAGCGCCCAAUACGCAAACCGCCUCUCCCCGCGCGUUGGCCGAUUCAUUAAUGCAGCUGGCACGACAGGUUUCCCGACUGGAAAGCGGGCAGUGAGCGCAACGCAAUUAAUGUGAGUUAGCUCACUCAUUAGGCACCCCAGGCUUUACACUUUAUGCUUCCGGCUCGUAUGUUGUGUGGAAUUGUGAGCGGAUAACAAUUUCACACAGGAAACAGCUAUGACCAUGAUUACGCCAAGCUUGGUACCGAGCUCGGAUCCACUAGUAACGGCCGCCAGUGUGCUGGAAUUCGCCCUUGAGUUUGAUCAUGGCUCAGAUUGAACGCUGGCGGCAGGCUUAACACAUGCAAGUCGAGCGGAGAUGAGGUGCUUGCACCUUAUCUUAGCGGCGGACGGGUGAGUAAUGCUUAGGAAUCUGCCUAUUAGUGGGGGACAACAUUCCGAAAGGAAUGCUAAUACCGCAUACGUCCUACGGGAGAAAGCAGGGGAUCUUCGGACCUUGCGCUAAUAGAUGAGCCUAAGUCGGAUUAGCUAGUUGGUGGGGUAAAGGCCUACCAAGGCGACGAUCUGUAGCGGGUCUGAGAGGAUGAUCCGCCACACUGGGACUGAGACACGGCCCAGACUCCUACGGGAGGCAGCAGUGGGGAAUAUUGGACAAUGGGGGGAACCCUGAUCCAGCCAUGCCGCGUGUGUGAAGAAGGCCUUAUGGUUGUAAAGCACUUUAAGCGAGGAGGAGGCUACUGAGACUAAUACUCUUGGAUAGUGGACGUUACUCGCAGAAUAAGCACCGGCUAACUCU